rnacentral:rRNA from 1 species
UGGGGAAUAUUGGACAAUGGGGGCAACCCUGAUCCAGCGACGCCGCGUGUGUGAAGAAGGCCUGCGGGUUGUAAAGCACUUUUAGUGGGGAGGAAGGUCUGCGACCUAACACGUCGUGGAAUUGACUUAACCCACAGAAAAAGCACCGGCUAACUCUGUGCCAGCAGCCGCGGUAAUACAGAGGGUGCAAGCGUUAAUCGGAAUUACUGGGCGUAAAGCGUGCGUAGGCGGUUUCGUAAGUCGGAUGUGAAAGCCCCGGGCUCAACCUGGGAAUUGCAUUCGAGACUGCGAAGCUGGAGUGCGGAAGAGGGAAGUGGAAUUUCCGGUGUAGCGGUGAAAUGCGUAGAUAUCGGAAGGAACAUCAGUGGCGAAAGCGACUUCCUGGUCCAGCACUGACGCUCAGGCACGAAAGCGUGGGGAGCAAACAGG